GGUCUCCAACGAGCUGUGCUGAGAGGCCACGCGGGAUUGGGAGAGGCUUCACCUUGUGUGUUGCCAUUCCAUCCACUUCUGGUACCGGGCAUCGGUCUGCCAGGGUUGUGCGCAUUGCGGCGCCGCCCGGGACCGAAGGCACGGGGACGA
rnacentral:sRNA from 12 species